CCACCCCCAGUAGAAUAUCAGAUCCUCAAAGGAGGUAGCUAAUAGGACAAUAGUUAAAGCUUUGGGCUUAAAAUCAGGCAGAACUGAGUUCAAAUCCAUCCCAGACAGUCAGUAGUUGGGUAAAUCAUUUUAACCAUGGCAUACCUCAGUUUUCUCAACUAUAAUAACCAGGGAAAAUAAUAGCACCUACCUCUCAGAGUUGCUAUGAGAGUCAAAUGAUACAAUAUUUGCUUUGAAGAAAAAAGCAUUUGACACAGUGCCUGGCACCUUGUAGGCACUAUAUAAAUGUUUAUUCGCUGCCCCUUGAAGAUAUAAACUGUUUUGUCUUGGUCUGUGUUUCUCCAGCUCCUGUUACAGUGCCUGGAUGCUAGACUUGAAUUCUCGGGGAACAGAUACAGGAAUUGCCAUUGUGGGUUGACAUCAGGCCCUGGCUGGGCCAGGGACCUUGUAGAACAUACACACAGUAGACUUCCUGCCUUUCAGAGCCCUCAGAAAUGGUGUGCAGCAUUCCAAGGCAAGGGGGCCUUUGAAGGAUUUCCCUGA
rnacentral:lncRNA from 1 species